UACGGGGGGAGCAAGCGUUGUUCGGAUUUACUGGGCGUAAAGGGCGCGUAGGCGGUCAGCACAAGUCAGUUGUGAAAUCUCCGGGCUUAACUCGGAAAGGUCAACUGAUACUGUGCGACUAGAGUGCAGAAGGGGCAACUGGAAUUCUCGGUGUAGCGGUGAAAUGUGUAGAGAUCGGGAGGAACACCGGUGGCGAAGGCGGGUCUCUGGGCAAUUCCUGACGCUGAGGCGCGAAAGCGUGGGGAGCAAACGGG
rnacentral:rRNA from 1 species